CGCAAGUACUGUAGCUUGCCGGAAAUCCUCGCCGGAAAAAUAAGGCACCUGUCCAAGAAAACAGAACACACCCACACACACCCACAAAAAGCAAAACCGAGCAAGAAAUCAAUAAUAAUCAAUUAAAUGGUUACCGGAGGAGUGAGUGAGCGAUUCUCUGGCCAAUCUGCAAGGUUAGGAUCUUCCCAAGUCUGCCCUGCUGCCUUUUGAGGCACAACUUUCUUUUUGGCCUCAGCAUUUUGCUUAAUCUCACUGUUUGCAAGCGCAGCUUUCACAUUCUCAAUUGCUUCGGGUGUGAUAGUUUGUGCAACUUUUUGAAAUAAUUUUUGCGCUUGUUGCUAUUGAGGUAAAGUUUAAACACCGGGAACAGACGCAGGAGCAGAUAAAAUGGGGGAGCAGGGCCAAUGUAGGGCUGAGAUGGUUGUUGUUGGAGAUGAAAAGGCGUCAGAAAGAAUUUGUCGUUUAAGUAAUUAUAUUACGAAGAAUAAGUGGCUGCAGCCGACGUGGAUGUCACUGUCAACAUAGCAAUGACCGGUGGACGUAGUUAACACUGAGAGGAGAUUUUCCAAUCGGUGAAUUAACGUCUUAAAUUUUAGCAGAAUACAAAAAUAACAGCUGGACAGCUAUGGAAUUCAGCUAGUGACGGAACAGCAGCACUCGGCUUCGAUUCUCAGUCAGAAAACCAAAUUGAAACCCAGAAAAUAGUGAAGAAAAACUCCUUGAAUCAGCAGCAACGAAUGCACUUUUCAGAACCAAAUGGCGAUGUUCUUCAGAGAAAAUGGAGUUCGAAGGGGUCACGGCUAGCUUUUGUGUUGAAGAUCAUCAAGAUUUUCGGUCUCAAAUGUCUAAGUUUGUGUCUAAUGUUAGGUUUCCUCUGUUCUUAUGUCUCUAGGUCUUCUUAUUGCUUGAAAAACUUAUCUGAAAAAGAGAAAUAGCUGAUUCGAAGGUGGUUGUUAAUUAUUUUUGGAUAAGAAGGCUUGCUACAAAUUAAUUUAUAAGAUAUUAAGAUGAAUAUGGAGUA
rnacentral:lncRNA from 1 species